CCUACGGGUGGCAGCAGUGGGGAAUAUUGGACAAUGGGGGGAACCCUGAUCCAGCCAUGCCGCGUGUGUGAAGAAGGCCCUCGGGUUGUAAAGCACUUUCAGUGAGGAAGAACGCCUGGUGGUUAAUACCCAUCAGGAAAGACAUCACUCACAGAAGAAGCACCGGCUAACUCCGUGCCAGCAGCCGCGGUAAUACGGAGGGUGCGAGCGUUAAUCGGAAUUACUGGGCGUAAAGCGCGCGUAGGUGGCUUGAUAAGCCGGUUGUGAAAGCCCCGGGCUCAACCUGGGAACGGCAUCCGGAACUGUCAAGCUAGAGUGCAGGAGAGGAAGGUAGAAUUCCCGGUGUAGCGGUGAAAUGCGUAGAGAUCGGGAGGAGUACCAGUGGCGAAGGCGGCCUUCUGGACUGACACUGACACUGAGGUGCGAAAGCGUGGGUAGCAAACAGGAUUAGAUACCCCAGUAGUC
rnacentral:rRNA from 1 species